CCUUUAUAUCGCGCGUGUCUGAGGUAGCAACAAGUCAGAUUUACGUGAGCGAUCGACGGAAAAGAAGAAAAAUCUGCGAGGGAGGCUGUCAGAGAAGAGCGGAAUCGGAAGACAGUGAGUGCGACAGCGAUUGCUCUUUCGACAAUGACGUAUGCCUUGCGGGUGUAAAGUUAACAACGAAGGAUAAAGAGGAAAUAAAGAAGUAUCAACGCGAAGCUCCGAAAGCCAUCUAAAGCAGAAAAUUGUCUUUCUUCUCUCUACGAUUGCCAGUCAUCAGUUGCAUAACGAAUCAAUCAAAUAAAAAUAAAAUACUCGACAAAGAUGGUAAAAGCUGGAAAGAAAAUAUUAACAAAUCGCAGGGGAAAAAUUAACUGGUUACGACGUCGACUUAAUAGAACAAACUGGAACUAUUUCGUGAAAUUAUUUCGGAUGAUCUGGAAUUAUUUCACACGGGCAUUCACAGAGAAGGAAAGAAAUUUCCACUAGCUUCUGUCAAUCGAAAGAUCCUUCCACGAGCUGUUUAUUAUUGUAUCAUGUACCAACUUUAAUUGUAAGUAUAAAAUACGAACGAUCGACUCAGGUGAUUUGCACGAUUUAUGCGUAGCAAGAAAAUAUUAAUUAUGGUCUAUUAAUAAAACUAUCGAUUAUUAAUAAGUUUUUUACGACGACCAACACUUCGAUCAAGAUUAAUAGAUACCAAGAUUAAACCAUCAACUUCUCACUCAACACCUCACUAACAAAUCAAACUUUGACGCAUCUAACAAAAAAGUGAUACUAAAAUUAUCGCAACUCGAUCUUAUAAACUUGAUCGCGCAAUUUCAAGGACAACAAAUAAUUUUGUAAAAUAAAAUGAAAUAAAUUGUAAAAUAAUUUAA